GACGAACGCUGGCGGCGUGCUUAACACAUGCAAGUCGAACGGAAAGGCCCUGCUUUUGUGGGGUGCUCGAGUGGCGAACGGGUGAGUAACACGUGAGUAACCUGCCCUUGACUUUGGGAUAACUUCAGGAAACUGGGGCUAAUACCGGAUAGGAGCUCCUGCUGCAUGGUGGGGGUUGGAAAGUUUCGGCGGUUGGGGAUGGACUCGCGGCUUAUCAGCUUGUUGGUGGGGUAGUGGCUUACCAAGGCUUUGACGGGUAGCCGGCCUGAGAGGGUGACCGGCCACAUUGGGACUGAGAUACGGCCCAGACUCCUACGGGAGGCAGCAGUGGGGAAUAUUGCACAAUGGGCGGAAGCCUGAUGCAGCAACGCCGCGUGCGGGAUGACGGCCUCCGGGUUGUAAACCGCUUUCGCCUGUGACGAAGCGUGAGUGACGGUAAUAGGUAAAGAAGCACCGGCUAACUACGUG
rnacentral:rRNA from 1 species